rnacentral:rRNA from 1 species
CGAACGCUGGCGGCGUGCUUAACACAUGCAAGUCGACCGGAAAGGCCCUGCUUGCAGGGUACUCGAGUGGCGAACGGGUGAGUAACACGUGGGUGAUCUGCCCUGCACUUCGGGAUAAGCCUGGGAAACUGGGUCUAAUACCGGAUAGGAGCCAUUUUUAGUGUGAUGGUUGGAAAGUUUUUUCGGUGUAGGAUGAGCUCGCGGCCUAUCAGCUUGUUGGUGGGGUAAUGGCCUACCAAGGCGGCGACGGGUAGCCGGCCUGAGAGGGUGGACGGCCACAUUGGGACUGAGAUACGGCCCAGACUCCUACGGGAGGCAGCAGUGGGGAAUAUUGCACAAUGGGCGCAAGCCUGAUGCAGCGACGCCGCGUGGGGGAUGACGGCCUUCGGGUUGUAAACUCCUUUCGCUAGGGACGAAGCUUUUUGUGACGGUACCUAGAUAAGAAGCACCGGCUAACUACGUG